ensembl:lncRNA LINC01608 long intergenic non-protein coding RNA 1608
CCCCCAACAGUUUCUUUUUCUGCAUCCGCUGCUCUGUUAAGUGAUCACCACAUUCAUUGUUCUCGUUUCUAUUAUUUCUGAAAAAAAUCUUCAGGAUUCUGCUUGUGGGAGUGGAUGACAUUUUUACAGUGUUUACAGGCUGAAAAUUUUUCGAGCUUUUAUGCUCUGCUUCCGUUAUAAGGAGGAGGCCUCACAAUCCUGGUGGAAGGCAAGGAGGAGCAAGUCACAUCUUAUGUGGAUGGCAGCAGGCAAAGAAAGCUUAUGCAGACACAAAAUGAACAAGAUGUCUGUGGCAACCCUCAGACCAUUGACGCCUUCUCUCCUAUGUAUCAAAUCACACAUUUGGACGUUGACUGAACCCUCACAUGUCAGAUGCUCAAUAUUGAGGUAUAGUAAAAGGGAGCAUGAACUUGAGAAAAUACGCUUUCAACACAAAGCUGUAAUAAUAUAAGGUCAAAUAAGAUUCUGCAUUGGAGAUAGAAAACUCUGAAGGAAGCUUUAUCUAUUCCAGAAUGUCAUAUAGCUGGUAUAAGGUUGUCUUCAUUCAUUUCCACAGUUUCUCUGGAGGUUCCAACAAGAUACGGUCUCCAUUGCCCAUUGCUCUGGACCCCAGCCAUCACCCAGUGCAGCAGUGAUGCCUUAUGACAAGUCAGCACCUGGUCUGAACUCUGCUCUCUUUGCACUGAAUUCUUUGAGUUUUUAUUCCAAGUUCAGUCAUUGGUUUUAGUAUUGGUUCCCAUCUGCUUGGCAUCCUUGGUGGAAUUGGGCUUCUUUUUUCAAUUUCUUUUUGCUGUCUUUUUGUUUUACUGUGUUGAGUAGUGCUAUCUAAAUGUGUUUAUCAUAAAAGAAGCAGCACAUGAUCAUAGGCCCAUGAGCCUGUUUUUCAAGCCAGCCAAACAGCACAUUUAGUUUGACAUUCACACUGGACCUCUGUCCAUUUUUAUAAACUUCGCUUUGGGUCAUCAAUAAAACUAAAUGAAGUUCUC